rnacentral:rRNA from 1 species
GCAGACACUCCUACGGGAGGCAGCAGUGGGGAAUAUUGCACAAUGGGCGCAAGCCUGAUGCAGCCAUGCCGCGUGUAUGAAGAAGGCCUUCGGGUUGUAAAGUACUUUCAGCAGUGAGGAAGGUGGGUAUGUUAAUAGCAUACUCAUUUGACGUUAGCUGCAGAAGAAGCACCGGCUAACUCCGUGCCAGCAGCCGCGGUAAUACGGAGGGUGCGAGCGUUAAUCGGAAUUACUGGGCGUAAAGCGCAUGCAGGUGGUUUGUUAAGUCAGAUGUGAAAGCCCGGGGCUCAACCUCGGAAUUGCAUUUGAAACUGGCAAACUAGAGUACUGUAGAGGGGGUAGAAUUUCAGGUGUAGCGGUGAAAUGCGUAGAGAUCUGAAGGAAUACCGGUGGCGAAGGCGGCCCCCUGGACAGAUACUGACACUCAGAUGCGAAAGCGUGGGGAGCAAACAGGAUUAGAUACCCUGGUAG